rnacentral:rRNA from 1 species
GACGAAGGUGGCUAGCGUUGUUCGGUGUCACUGGGCUUAAAGAGUAUGUAGGCGGAAUAGUAAGCGUCUUGUGAAAUCCCUCGGCUUAACCGAGGAAUUGCUGGGCGAACUAUUAUUCUUGAGGCAAGUAGGGGUGCAUGGAACUCUUGGUGGAGCGGUGGAAUGCGUAGAUAUCAAGAGGAACGCCAAUGGAGAAAUCAGUGCACUGGGCUUGUCCUGACGCUGAGAUACGAAAGCGUGGGUAGCGAACGGGAUUAGAUACCCCGGUAGUCCACGCCGUAAACGAUGUCUACUAGGUUGCGGAUGUUCUGACACAGUCGCGACCGAAGCAAAAGUGUUAAGUAGACCGCCUGGGGAGUACGGUCGCAAGGCUAAA